rnacentral:rRNA from 1 species
UACGAAGGGGGCUAGCGUUGUUCGGAUUUACUGGGCGUAAAGCGCACGUAGGCGGAUUGUUAAGUCGGGGGUGAAAUCCCAGGGCUCAACCCUGGAACUGCCUUCGAUACUGGCAAUCUCGAGUCCGGAAGAGGUGAGUGGAACUCCUAGUGUAGAGGUGGAAUUCGUAGAUAUUAGGAAGAACACCAGUGGCGAAGGCGGCUCACUGGUCCGGUACUGACGCUGAUGUGCGAAAGCGUGGGGAGCAAACAGG